AGGCUUAAUACAUGCAAGUCGAGGGCCAGCGCGGUAGCAAUACUGGCGGCGACCGGCGCACGGGUGCGUAACACGUAUACAAUCUGCCUCUUACUGGGGGAUAGCCCGGAGAAAUCCGGAUUAAUACCCCAUAACAAUAGAAACGGCAUCGUUUUUAUUUGAAAGAAUUUUGGUAAGAGAGGAGUAUGCGACUGAUUAGUUAGUUGGCGAGGUAAUGGCUCACCAAGACCGCGAUCAGUAGGGGAUCUGAGAGGAUUCACCCCCACACUGGUACUGAGACAGGGACCAG
rnacentral:rRNA from 1 species